rnacentral:lncRNA from 1 species
GACUGAGAUCUAGAGAGACAGAGGGGGGGGGGGAGCAAGGGAAGGAGAGAGGGAGAGAAGAAGCAGCAGCAGCUAUAAUUGCCAAAGAAACAGCCAAACUGGUGCAUAGCAUGGCAGGGAUCCCAGACGAAGGAGGAGAAAGCCAGAGGGGCAAAAACUAGCAGCUGACAAGCAGGCUGGCAUCCUCCAGAAAGCAAAAUCAAGGGGCUUCCCAACAGGGUUUGAAGAUGAGCAAACUAAACAAGGCUGGCAUCCUCCAGAAAGCAAAAUGAAGGGACUUCCCAACAGGGUUUGAAGAUGAGCAAACUAAACAAGGUA